CAGCCGCCGCGGUAAUACGUAGGUCCCGAGCGUUGUCCGGAUUUAUUGGGCGUAAAGCGAGCGCAGGCGGUUAGAUAAGUCUGAAGUUAAAGGCUGUGGCUUAACCAUAGUACGCUUUGGAAACUGUUUAACUUGAGUGCAGAAGGGGAGAGUGGAAUUCCAUGUGUAGCGGUGAAAUGCGUAGAUAUAUGGAGGAACACCGGUGGCGAAAGCGGCUCUCUGGCUUGUAACUGACGCUGAGGCUCGAAAGCGUGGGGAGCAAACAGGAUUAGAGACCCGAGUAGUCCCUGUCUCUUAUACA
rnacentral:rRNA from 1 species